rnacentral:rRNA from 1 species
UACGUAGGGUGCAAGCGUUGUCCGGAAUUAUUGGGCGUAAAGAGCUCGUAGGUGGUUUGUCGCGUUGUUCGUGAAAACUCACAGCUUAACUGUGGGCGUGCGGGCGAUACGGGGCAGACUUGAGUACUGCAGGGGAGACUGGAAUUCCUGGUGUAGCGGUGGAAAUGCGCAGAUAUCAGGAGGAACACCGGUGGCGAAGGCGGG